CAAAGGAAAUCGCUGCAGCUGUUAUUAUGGAAGCGAUAGAAGAGGAUCUUGUUGCAGGAUACCGUGAUGUAGAUGCUCGAGAACUCCAAAAAUUUAACAAGGAACAAAUUUUGGAAUUUGUGAAGAACAACAUGUGGGAUCCAGAUUACCCGACAGUAGUUUACCAUCAGGAUUGAUUUAUUGUUGUAAGAACAGAAU